GUCCAAGGGAUGGGAAUCGAACCCACAGUGUUCCGCUUACCGGGCAGAUGCCAUGUCCACUAGGCUACCCUGGA